rnacentral:rRNA from 1 species
CAGUCGCCACGGGAAUACGUAGGUGGCAAGCGUUGCCCGGAAUUAUUGGGCGUAAAGGGCUCGCAGGCGGUUUCUUAAGUCUGAUGUGAAAGCCCCCGGCUCAACCGGGGAGGGUCAUUGGAAACUGGGAAACUUGAGUGCAGAAGAGGAGAGUGGAAUUCCACGUGUAGCGGUGAAAUGCGUAGAGAUGUGGAGGAACACCAGUGGCGAAGGCGACUCUCUGGUCUGUAACUGACGCUGAGGAGCGAAAGCGUGGGGAGCGAACAGGAUUAGAUACCCCAGUAGUCCCUGUCUCUUAUAC